rnacentral:rRNA from 1 species
UGACUCUUACGGAGUUCUCUCAAGUGUUGGAGGGGAAGGCCUGCGCUUAAUUGCGCGGCUGUUUUUAAUCUCCUCCGCCUUUGAUACACACAUUGGAGUUUCUACUUUUUUGUUCUCUUUGGGAGGGUUCUGCUCUCCCAGAGGUAAACACAAACAAUCUUUUAUUAUACUAUUAACACAGUCAAAUGAAUUUUAAAAACAAAAUAUUCAAAACUUUCAACAACGGAUCUCUUGGUUCUCGCAUCGAUGAAGAACGCAGCGAACUGCGAUACGUAAUGUGAAUUGCAGAAUUCCGUGAAUCAUCGAAUCUUUGAACGCACAUUGCGCCCCUUGGUAUUCCGGGGGGCAUGCCUGUUUGAGCGUCAUUUCCCUCUCAAACUUUACGUUUGGUAGUGAGCGAUACUCUACUCUGGAGUUUGCUUGAAAAUGGGAGGCCAUAGGCGAAGCAUUGCUUUCCAAUCCUGCGGCCCUCUGCUUACUUCCCCUUGUGGGUUGUGGCAGGGGAAAGCGGGAGGCGCCUUGCCACGAUAGUCGUAUUAGGUUUUACCGACUCGGCGAAAGUGAAGAGGUUUGCUUUUUAGGAGCAGGCAGCGUCUGGCUUGACAAAAUUCUCAAAGUUUGACCUCAAAUCAGGUAGGAUUACCCGCUGAA